GAUGAACGCUAGCUACAGGCUUAACACAUGCAAGUCGAGGGGAAACGACAUUGAAACUUGCUUCGAUGGUCGUCGACCGGCGCACGGGUGAGUAACGCGUAUCCAACCUGCCUCUGACCAAGGGAUAACCCGUCGAAAGUCGGCCUAAUACCUUAUGCAGUCGUCGGAAGUCAUCUGAUGACGACGAAAGAUUUCAUCGGUGAGAGAUGGGGAUGCGUCUGAUUAGCUUGUUGGCGGGGUAACGGCCCACCAAGGCAACGAUCAGUAGGGGUUCUGAGAGGAAGGUCCCCCACAUUGGAACUGAGACACGGUCCAAACUCCUACGGGAGGCAGCAGUGAGGAAUAUUGGUCAAUGGGCGAGAGCCUGAACCAGCCAAGUAGCGUGCAGGAUGACGGCCCUAUGGGUUGUAAACUGCUUUUAUGCGGGGAUAAAGUGAGGGACGUGUCCUUCAUUGCAGGUACCGCAUGAAUAAGGACCGGCUAAUUCCGUG
rnacentral:rRNA from 1 species